UACAGAGGAUGCAAGCGUUAUCCGGAAUGAUUGGGCGUAAAGCGUCUGUAGGUGGCUUUUUAAGUCCGCCGUCAAAUCCCAGGGCUCAACUCUGGACAGGCGGUGGAAACUACCAAGCUGGAGUACGGUAGGGGCAGAGGGAAUUUCCGGUGGAGCGGUGAAAUGCGUAGAGAUCGGGAAGAACAUCGGUGGCGAAAGCGCUCUACUGGACCGCAACUGACACGCAGGGACGAAAGCUAGGGGAGCGAAUGGG
rnacentral:rRNA from 1 species